rnacentral:piRNA from 1 species
UUUCUUAGCUCUAGCUAGCCAGCAU